GUAAAAGUCGUAACAAGGUUUCCGUAGGUGAACCUGCGGAAGGAUCAUUACCGAGUGAGGGCCCUCUGGGUCCAACCUCCCACCCGUGUUUAUUUUACCUUGUUGCUUCGGCGGGCCCGCCUUAACUGGCCGCCGGGGGGCUUACGCCCCCGGGCCCGCGCCCGCCGAAGACACCCUCGAACUCUGUCUGAAGAUUGUAGUCUGAGUGAAAAUAUAAAUUAUUUAAAACUUUCAACAACGGAUCUCUUGGUUCCGGCAUCGAUGAAGAACGCAGCGAAAUGCGAUACGUAAUGUGAAUUGCAAAUUCAGUGAAUCAUCGAGUCUUUGAACGCACAUUGCGCCCCCUGGUAUUCCGGGGGGCAUGCCUGUCCGAGCGUCAUUGCUGCCCUCAAGCACGGCUUGUGUGUUGGGCCCCGUCCUCCGAUCCCGGGGGACGGGCCCGAAAGGCAGCGGCGGCACCGCGUCCGGUCCUCGAGCGUAUGGGGCUUUGUCACCCGCUCUGUAGGCCCGGCCGGCGCUUGCCGAUCAACCCAAAUUUUUAUCCAGGUUGACCUCGGAUCAGGUAGGGAUACCCGCUGAACUUAAGCAU
rnacentral:rRNA from 1 species